rnacentral:rRNA from 1 species
CGACGGAGGGCGCAAGCGUUGUUCGGAAUUACUGGGCGUAAAGCGCGCGUAGGCGGUUAGAUAAGUCUGAUGUGAAAGCCCUGGGCUUAACCUGGGAAUGGCAUUGGAUACUGUUUGACUAGAGUGCAGGAGAGGAGAGUGGAAUUCUCGGUGUAGCGGUGAAAUGCGUAGAGAUCGGGAGGAACACCAGUGGCGAAGGCGGCUCUCUGGACUGACACUGACGCUGAGGUGCGAAAGCGCGGGUAGCAAACAGGAUUAGAAACCCCGGUAGUCC